rnacentral:rRNA from 1 species
CCCUUAGAUGUUCUGGGCCGCACGCGCGCUACACUGAUGCAUUCAACGAGUCUAAAACCUGGUCUGAGAGGGCUGGGUAAUCUUUUGAAAGUGCAUCGUGAUUGGGAUAGAUGAUUGCAAUUCUUCAUCUUCAACGAGGAAUGCCUAGUAAACGCAAGUCAUCAGCUUGCAUUGAUUACGUCCCUGCCCUUUGUACACACCGCCCGUCGCUCCUACCGAUUGAACGAUCCGAUGAAAACUGUGGAUUGAGAGUCUGAGUGGGUUCGCCUACCUCAACUUGCGAGAAGCGGUUUAAAUCUUAUCGUUUAGAGGAAGGAGAAGUCGUAACA